rnacentral:rRNA from 1 species
GGCCGCAGUAUUUUAACUGUGCAAAGGUAGCAUAAUCAUUAGUCUUUUAAUUGAAGGCUGGUAUGAAUGGUUGGACGAAAUAUUAACUGUUUCAUUAUAAUUUUAUUUAGAAUUUUAUUUUUUAGUUAAAAAGCUAAAAUUUAUUUAAAAGACGAGAAGACCCUAUAAAUCUUUAUAUUUAAAUUAUAAUAUAUUUCAUAGAUUUUUUUUUUUAUUAUAAUUAAUAUUAUUUUAUUGGGGUGAUAUUAAAAUUUAUAAAACUUUUAAUUUUUAAUAUCAUUUAUUUAUGAUUUAUUGAUCCAUUUUUAAUGAUUAAAAAAUUAAGUUACUUUAGGGAUAACAGCGUAAUUUUUUUGGAAAGUUCUUAUUAAUAAAAAAGAUUGCGACCUCGAUGUUGGAUU